UGUGGACCCUCGAGCUUCAUUAGGGACCCCAGGUCAGGUGGGGCUACCCGCUGAGUUUAAGCAUAUC
rnacentral:rRNA from 1 species